GGGUCCCUAGCUCAAUUUGGCAGAGCAGCGGCCUUUUAAGCCGCGGGUUCUGGGUUCGAGUCCCAGGGGGCUCA
rnacentral:tRNA from 2 species